rnacentral:rRNA from 1 species
CAGUGGCGUACGGGUGAGUAACACGUGGGUAAUCUACCUCUUAGUGGGGAAUAACUUUGGGAAACCGAAGCUAAUACCGCAUAAGCUCGAGAGAGGAAAGCAGCAAUGCGCUGAGAGAGGAGCCCGCGGCCGAUUAGCUAGUUGGCAGGGUAAAAGCCUACCAAGGCAGAGAUCGGUAGCCGGCCUGAGAGGGCACACGGCCACACUGGCACUGAAACACGGGCCAGACUCCUACGGGAGGCAGCAGUGGGGAAUCUUGCACAAUGGGGGCAACCCUGAUGCAGCGACGCCGCGUGAGCGAUGAAGCCCUUCGGGGUGUAAAACCCUUUCGACGGGGAAGAAAGCCGCAAGGUCUGACGGUACCCGUAGAAGAAGCCCCGGCUAACCCCGUGCCAGCAGCCGCGGUAAUACGGGGGGGGCAAGCGUUGUUCGGAAUUACUGGGCGUAAAGGGUGCGUAGGCGGUUCGCUAAGUUGGAUGUGAAAACUCUGGGCUCAACCCAGAGCCUGCAUCCAAUACUGGCGAGCUAGAGUUCUGGAGGGGAUAGCGGAAUUCCUGGUGUAGCGGUGAAAUGCGUAGAUAUCAGGAGGAACACCGGUGGCGAAGGCGGCUAUCUGGACAGAGUCUGACGCUGAGGCACGAAAGCUAGGGGAGCAAACAGGAUUAGAUACCCUGGUAGUCCUAGCCCUAAACGAUGGAUACUUGCUGUAGCUGGGAUUGAAUCCAGCUGUGGCGAAGCUAACGCAUUAAG